UCCAGAGACAGCCUUGUUUGAUCGGGUGAUUCCUCAGUGCUGCUUGUAUCAUCCAAAGAUAGAGAUCUCUGAUCCGAGGGAUCACCAUAAAGCCCCAUCAUGUGCCCAGCCUCUUCAGACAUUAUAAACUUGUCAAGAUACUGCUCUAUACAAACAGAAUCAGAGAAAUGAACCAAACGAUUCAUCUAAAGCAUCAACUUUCAAUGAUUUUGUUCAUCCAUGAAGCUGCUGCUGAAG
rnacentral:misc_RNA from 1 species